rnacentral:rRNA from 1 species
CCAAUAGCGUAUAUUAAAGUUGUUGCAGUUAAAAAGCUCGUAGUUGAAUUUCGGGAUCAAUACGUCGGUCGUGCUUCGGUACGUACUGGCGUCAUUGAUUUCUCCCUUCUGACGAACCAUGAUGUCAUUAACUUGGUGUCAUGGGAAAUCAGGACUGUUACUUUGAAAAAAUUAGAGUGUUUAAAGCAAGCUAACGCUUGAAUACAUUAGCAUGGAAUAAUGAAAUAGGACGUUCGAUCCUAUUUUGUUGGUUUCUAGGAUUGACGUAAUGAUUAAUAGGGAUAGUUGGGGGCAUUAGUAUUCAAUUGUCAGAGGUGAAAUUCUUGGAUUUAUUGAAGACUAACUACUGCGAAAGCAUUUGCCAAGGAUGUUUUCAUUAAUCAAGAACGAAAGUUAGGGGAUCGAAGACGAUCAGAUACCGUCGUAGUCUUAACCAUAAACUAUGCCGACUAGGGAUCGGAUGAUGUUAAUUUUUUAAUGACUCAUUCGGCGCCUUACG